rnacentral:rRNA from 1 species
GGUGAAAAGCACCCCGGAAGGGGAGUGAAAUAGAACCUGAAACCGUGUGCUUACAAGUAGUCAGAGCCCGUUAAUGGGUGAUGGCGUGCCUUUUGUAGAAUGAACCGGCGAGUUACGAUUUGAUGCAAGGUUAAGCAGUAAAUGUGGAGCCGUAGCGAAAGCGAGUCUGAAUAGGGCGUUUAGUAUUUGGUCGUAGACCCGAAACCAGGUGAUCUACCCUUGGUCAGGUUGAAGUUCAGGUAACACUGAAUGGAGGACCGAACCGACUUACGUUGAAAAGUGAGCGGAUGAACUGAGGGUAGCGGAGAAAUUCCAAUCGAACCUGGAGAUAGCUGGUUCUCUCCGAAAUAGCUUUAGGGCUAGCCUCAAGUGAUGAUUAUUGGAGGUAGAGCACUGUUUGGACGAGGGGCCCCUCUCGGGUUACCGAAUUCAGACAAACUCCGAAUGCCAAUUAAUUUAACUUGGGAGUCAGAACAUGGGUGAUAAGGUCCGUGUUCGAAAGGGAAACAGCCCAGACCACCAGCUAAGGUCCCAAAAUAUAUGUUAAGUGGAAAAGGAUGUGGCGUUGCCCAGACAACUAGGAUGUUGGCUUAGAAGCAGCCAUCAUUUAAAGAGUGCGUAAUAGCUCACUAGUCGAGUGACACUGCGCCGAAAAUGUACCGGGGCU